AUUCAACACUACAAUGCUUUUAAGCUGUCUGCACUUGUGCAAGCAAAUUAAAGAUACCAAAAAGCACUAGUAAAGUGGCUACACAGACAUCUCCAUUAUGAAUCUGGCAGCUGCUUUGAUUUGAUUACAACUACAAAGGACAAGAAUAUUUUCAGUGGUAAAUGAAUGGUAUCUUUUAACUUUCUUUUUCUCCUUGUAUUUAUUAAGAACAGGCCUGGCGU
rnacentral:misc_RNA from 1 species